rnacentral:rRNA from 1 species
AACGAACGCUGGCGGCAUGCCUAACACAUGCAAGUCGAACGAGACCUUCGGGUCUAGUGGCGCACGGGUGCGUAACGCGUGGGAACCUGCCUUUAGGUUCGGAAUAACUCAGAGAAAUUUGAGCCUAAUACCGGAUAAUGUCUUCGGACCAAAGAUUUAUCGCCUUUAGAUGGGCCCGCGUUGGAUUAGCUAGUUGGUGGGGUAAAGGCCUACCAAGGCGACGAUCCAUAGCUGGUCUGAGAGGAUGAUCAGCCACACUGGGACUGAGACACGGCCCAGACUCCUACGGGAGGCGAGCAGUGGGGAAUAUUGGACAAUAGGGCGGAAAGCCGUGAUCCAGCCAUGCCGCGUGCA